ACAGAGACACCAAGACUCAAGGAACGAUUUCGUUGUUCUUCGGUGUCACUCAGCACCCGCAUAAUUGAAAACGUUAUGCAUUAUUGUUGCUAUUAUUCAUUCGAAUUAAGCAAUAUUGUUACUAUUCACGUAAAAGUUUGUUUAAAAUAUGACUAUAUGUUUAUUUAGAAUCAAUGAUAUGUACAACUUUUUAUCUACGACACCAUAUGCAAUUAUUUGAUAGCACAUUGUUUCUUUACAAUUUUGUAUAUUCCAUGCUUGAUUUUUCUUUGAAAAAAAGUAUAACAAACCGUAUUUGACUAUCAACACAUAUUGUUAUAAUACGGAAUAUAGCAAAAAUAUGAGCAUGUAUCAUCUGAUGUUUGUUAUGAUUCCACACAUACUUUACAGAUUCUAUCAUUCUAUGAUACACCUAUGAUAAGCGUUCUAUUAGUGCAGUAGGUGUGCGUGUCCUUUGAACGACGGCAGAAUUAUUUUAUUGCACGGCUUCCAUGUUUUUUCUCGUGCGGGCAAAACUGGUUCACUGUUUCCAGCAAUCGUGCAUUGUUUUGUGCUUAUUUUUUAACAUUUGCGAUUAUUGCAUCAAUAAAAGGGAUCUGGUGUUAUUUGCGUAUUUCCAACAGUCUGAAGUAAAACGGCUCAUUGGCACCACGAAAUAGAUUUCAGCGAGGGUUUAAAUUUUUACAUUACCGGGAUGUGGCUUUCCAGGAGCCUUCACUUGCUCACAGCAAAUAAAUGGCGAAACACUAUACUGAGG